UCCUGCUGUGUCAUCCAAGGCAGAAGGUGGAAGGGCAAGACAGUAUGAGAGUAAGAGAGAGCAAGAAGGGGCAAAACUUACUUUUAUAACAACCCACUCUUGUAAUAACAAAUCCACUCCCUCAAUAAUGACAUUAAUCCAUUAAUGAGGGCAGAGUCCUCAUGACCUAAUCAAUUACCUCUUAUUAGGCCCUGCCUCCCAACACUGUUGCAAGGGGAAUUAAGCUUCCAACACAUGAACUUUGUGGGACAUAUUCCCACCAUGGCAAUCACCUAUCACCUUCUCACUUGUUAGACAUAAUUUUUGAAAUUCUAUUUCAGUAAGAUUGAAAGGGAAGCUGGCAAUUUUUCCAUCCAUAGAGUGAGAAUCUGAUUACUAUUGGACCAGCUGGAUAGUUGUUUCUCUGUAAGGGAUACUAAAAUACCUCCCGGGUAAUGAAACAUCACUGAAAAUGUGAUGAGAGGGAUAACGUUUGUAAGGAACACUUUGAUAAACUACAUCAAAAGGAAAAUGGAGAAAUGAACAGAAGAAAUCUGCAUCCCUUGGCAUAUGGCCCUUUCCUGCAACUUCAGAGCCAGCCACGUGGCAUCCUCACAUCUCCCUCUGACUCCAACUCAUCCACCGUCCUCUUCUAUUUACAAGUACCCUUGUGACUGUAUUGGACCAGAAUAAUCCCCUCAACUCAGUGUCAGCCAGUGAGCAACCUCAACCCCACUGCAACUUAAAUUCUUCUUUGUCAUGUCACCUAUUUACAGAUUUCAAGGAUUAGGACACAAUUUUGGGGGGCUAUUCUGCCUACCACAUUGUACCAACAGCACUUUUUAAUAAAAGGGUUUUCUAUAUGUA